AUUGAACGCUGGCGGCAGGCUUAACACAUGCAAGUCGAGCGGAGAUGAGGUGCUUGCACCUUAUCUUAGCGGCGGACGGGUGAGUAAUGCUUAGGAAUCUGCCUAUUAGUGGGGGACAACAUUCCGAAAGGAAUGCUAAUGCCGCAUACGUCCUACGGGAGGAAGCAGGGGAUCUUCGGACCUUGCGCUAAUAGAUGAGCCUAAGUCGGAUUAGCUAGUUGGUGGGGUAAAGGCCUACCAAGGCGACGAUCUGUAGCGGGUCUGAGAGGAUGAUCCGCCACACGGGGACUGAGACACGGCCCAGAAUCCUACGGGAGGCAGCAGUGGGGAAUAUUGGACAAUGGGGGGAACCCUGAUCCAGCCAUGCCGCGUGUGUGAAGAAGGCCUUAUGGUUGUAAAGCACUUUAAGCGAGGAGGAGGCUACUGAGACUAAUACUCUUGGAUAGUGGACGUUACUCGCAGAAUAAGCACCGGCUAACUCUGUGCCAGCCGCCGCCGUAACAC
rnacentral:rRNA from 1 species